GAAGAAGUCACUCAGGCCGCAAAAGGCCACGCCCACCGCUCGCUCAAUUUUCAUGUGAAUUUACAUGAUAAUUUAUAACUGUCACGUGGUGUCAAGUUUCCAUAGCUGCCUGCCACAACUGUCACAUGAUAAACAAAUAUUUCGGGGCACAACAAAUCAACAACGGGACGGCAUCGAGGAGAGUUUGGGUGACGUUGGGUUAUUCCAGGACCUUUCACCCCCAGUGGGCAAGAAUAAGAAGGUUGACAGCGAGUGUCAGACGCGUACUGGGCGGCGAAACGGGGCGACGCAGCCGAGCAAGCUUCGCACGAGGGGCCCCUGUGAGGAACCGACAACAUGGCUGCAACAGGGUAUAAAACCAAGACUCGCUCCAAGUCCCAGGAAAGGGAACUGAGUAGCAGGGAGAAGUCCAUGGCACAGAGAGCUGAGAGACAGUUGCUGAACUGGGAGCGGCUGAAGAAAUCGGAACACCAGAAGGAGCACAAGACGCUGAAGACGAACGUGGCGUUGCAGCGGGAGCUCAUACAAGCUCGCG